rnacentral:lncRNA from 1 species
GCAACCCGCUGGGGUCGUCUUCCAUGCGGUAGAAGCUUUGUUCUUUUGCUGUUUGCAAUAAAUCUUGUUGCUGGUCACUGUUUGGGUCCGCACUGCCUUUGUGAGCUGUAACGCUCACCACGAAGGUCUGCGGGUUCACUGCUGAGGCCAGUGAGAGCCCGAGCCCACCAGGAGGAAUGAACAACUCCGGAUGGGAGAAACGAACAACUCCAGAUCCGCCGACUUAAGAGCUGCAACACUCACCGCCAAGCUAUGCAGCUUGACUCCUGAAGCCAGCGAGACCACGAACCCAUCAGAAGAAAAACUGUGAACACACCCGAGGAAUAAACUCCGGACACACCAUCUUUAAGAAUUGUAACACUCACCACGAGGGUCCACGGCUUCAUUCUUGAGCAAGCUACCACUGUUUAGAGAGAGUCUCCUGUUGUCUUCGUCCUGAGGCUUCUUCCAUCUGCACGGAGGUUCCGAAGCGUUUAUGACAUAUCAAUCCCUCUACCAUCAGGCACACAUUUCACUGUUUUGGGAGAAGGCCUUUGGACUGAAGCUGGAAUCACUGCUGCUCCGUGGGUGCUUGUCAUGGCUCCUGUGGAUGGGAACCCGCUAGGCUUCUAGGCUCUGCAUGGGUUUGUCUUUUUGAAUAAAUUGAGCAAUUGAAUUAUUGAUCCUGGCCUCAUGAUAUAAAGGAUUGGAUUUUGAUUUCUUAAAAAUUCUGAAGUCACGGCAGUAUACCAGUAAACGCUCUAGGACCUUGGUUCUUACAGGUGGCAUGGUAUCGUGGGACGCCGGGACACAGGAGUCCUUGGAAGUGGGCUGCGGCCUCUGUUUAGUCUGCUGGUCAGCAGGAGCCCCUGUUCUGAGGGUGCUGCUCCCCUGCCAAGCCCUUCCCAUGCUUCCCUAUAGCACCAGGACAAGGCCCACAGAGCCCAUGGAGGCCUCGCCGUCUGGCUGGACUAUCUGGCUGGUCUUGACUUUCCCACGGAGGCCUGGCCAUCUGGCUGGUCUUGACCUUGACUCCAUGAUACUGGUGUGUGCUGAAUCAUCUUAGUGUUU